rnacentral:rRNA from 1 species
AUGAGUCAUCCCUGACUUUAAGUCAGUAAGGGUUGUUGUAGACUACGACGUAGAUAGGUCAGGUGUGUAAGUGUAGUGAUACAUUGAGCUAACAGAUACUAAUUGCCCGAGAGGCUUAACUAUACAACGCUCAAG